rnacentral:lncRNA from 1 species
GGCAGAACCGCCCGGCUGGGAGAGCGGCGCUCCGCGGAGCUGCCGUGCCCGUCCGCCCCAUCUGCCCCCGUACGCGGCCCUUCGUUCGCUGGGUGCGCGGGGCUGACACGCGAAAGUCAAUACGGGCGACGGACGUCCAUAAACACGGGUAGAAAAGAGGGCAGGGGUUACUAAUUAGCUCGCUGCUCCUAUAAAGCUUCUAGACCUUACCGGAGAAAUGUGAGUUACAUGUUUUACCGGUCUUCCUUUCUGAACCGUUAUCUGAUCAAAGCAGCAUGAAAAGCACUUUAUCGCUCACUUGGCUUUUUUCUCCCGUGCCGGGAGCCCUCUGCAGGAAGCGAAGCUGAAUUUCGCAUAUCUGCCCUUCCCGACGUCUCCCGAAUUUCUAGGAAUGCCCCUUCGCUGCUACUAUAUUUGGAGAGCUCUCCUCAUCCCUUAAAGAAGUUGUGGAGGAACGCAGUGCUGAGGGCUGUGCGAUGCAGAUACCCAGCGGAGCGCUCGACCUGCCGCUGUCAGCAGGGAACGGCCGCGCUCGGGUCGCGUGAAGCCCCUUGUGGAGGGCCGCAGCUGUAACCCAGCAGGAGUCAGGGCAGACACCUCCUGCAACGGUUCUGCUUUAGUCUGCGAUACAGAAGAACAGACACACAAGCUGAUCCUUUGGAAAGAUAAGAAUAGAUACUUUGGAUGCUGGGUCUGGUAAAUCUGCUGCUCUGGAAACUGUGGCUGUCCUGGCAGCAUCCCAUCCUUCUUUCACCAAGGGGGGCAAAAGGAGUGUCCAGGAUGCAUCUCUAAAGGUCUGCUUCCACUUCUCACCAAGGCAUGGUGCACUGCUGAAACUGAAGGAAAAUUUUUAAAGAUUUAGCCUGUAAUUUCUGAAACUGUUUAAAGUAACGUUGUAUGGAAACUGACUUUCUUAAUGCAAUUUGUCUACUUUUUCUCCAAACAUCACAGAAGAGAAUUAAAAUUUAAAUGCACUGAUAUGUUUUACAGAAGAUCAAACAUUACUGUUAUUUGAGUAGUUUCUAGGAGCAGUGAUGGAAACUGCUUUAUGUACUGCAAUGAUUUAUACUUUUUUGUUGUACAAUUUGUUUAAUUCCCACUGCAACUCAACAGGAUUACAAAGGCAUGUAUGAAUAAACAUGAAUUUGAGAUGUUGCAACUGAGUCCAGGAACAUAACGAUGGUAAUUUUUCCCUGAAGAAAUCAGAUCAGAAGCUUUAAAUGUACAUUUUCCUCAACAGAACAGUUGGAUGUUAUCAAAAUUACUACUGUGCCUACAUGUGUCCCUUGCAGCAUCAUUCCCUCAUCACUGAUUUGCCAGCACAGCACUACCCAGAAAGGAGUUUGCUGUUACCUGCCUAUGCAGUCCCCACAAAAGCUGCUGCUGAAAAUUCUCUCCGUACCUAUCAGAUGUUUCUGCACUGUGAAUGCUAAGGAAAUGCUAAGUAAUUUGACUGCACGAUUUUUAAAGAAACCAACAGAAAAAUCAGAUUUACACAAUGAUUACAGUUCUGCUUGCUAAUAUUGAUCCUCCCUUUAAGGGAAAUUAAUGCAAAACAAGACUGGAGUUAUAAUGCACCAAUAAUGUUUUGCUUGUCUCAAAAAGUAAUGAUAGCUAGUGCUUUUGUAUCUUCUAUUUCCUUAUGAUCUAUUAAAUAUAAGUAGUUAAAACCCUAAAAUAAGAAUAAAGAGAGAUGACAGAGGUGGCAAGGCACCUAGAUGUGGAUCUAAAUAUAACCAAGGUUGUUUAUAUCAGUGAGCUCUGCCAAAGGAUAUGCGUUUAUGCAACUUUCUUGGUCGGGGAGUCAGUUUGCAAUGCUCCCAUGUGUUGUAUCCUUUAUUGCUCAUAUUUCAAAGGUAAUUUUUGCAAGAUUCUAAACAAAUAAAUAAAAAGCUAAAUUAUUAUCUCAGUUGUAGAAAUGGAGAAACUAUAAUAUUGAAGUUGACUGACUCUGUCAAGUAAAUGUUUAUUAUUAGAAAUAGGAUUCGAUUUCAUGUCAUCACUCCAAAUCUCACACUUCUUGCACUGGUGACCUACCAUAAAGAAAUACACGUUAAUGCAAUCAUUUUGAAGAGAUCGAUACCCAGGGAGGAGCUGUUUCCUGAAUUACCAGGUGAACGACUAAACAUUUCCUAAGGAUCACCCAAGACACUGAAGACAAAAUAUCUAUCGUUUUUUGUUACAGUUCAUAUUUCUGCUGCUUCUCAGACACGCUGUGAUUCAUCUCUGAGGAACACUUCACAUACUGUAGUUUAUUUUUCUAUCACGACACUCACAAUUUGCCAAAACUGCCAUUUCCCUUAUGCUGUUUGAGCAUUGCUAGCUCUGCAAUCAAAUGUAUACUGUCUGUUUCCAUCCCUGCUCUCUGUCUCAAUUAUUAUUUUUGUGAAGAUAAGAAAAUCCCAUUUUUACCAGUGGAGAGCCAGGCUGCUUAGGUCACAAGAUUCUCUUGGCUUAAUCCUUGAGUAUGAAUCACGAACUUUCCCUAAGAAGUACUGGCAUUCUUCAGAUGAUCAAGCCAGCUUACUAAGGCUUCCAGAGCUUUCCGCAUUAGCGAUCACCAUGUUUAAAGUAUCAAAAGCAGUAGCUGAUUAAGAAUUAAACUGUUUAUUCUUACUUUUCCCAUUUCCUCUGUUUCUAACUCUUAUGUGGCUUGGUACUGUAAACAGCUGUAAUGCAACUCAGUUAAAAGAAGUAAUAUGAAAAUAUGAAAGCUAUGAUGAAAGAGAUAUAUCAGACAAAAAUAUUUGUGUGAAAUACAAGAAACAGAGUUACAUUUUCUGCAGUACAUGGCUCAAAAAUAAUCUGCAUAUGUACACAUGGCUCCAGUUAACAAAAAGCAUUUUUCUCACAUUUAAUAUCAGAAAUGUUGGAGGUAGCCAAACAUCUAUUCUGCAGAUGAUUUACAACCCUUGCAGAAAAAAAAAAAACUGCACUAUUGAGACAUCAUAGUAAAUGUCAUAUAAUUCAAUAAGCGUUAUGUGAAGAAAUAGAUAAAAUGAAGAUACACCCAAAAAAUAUUUCUUGAGAUAUGAAGGUGGAAACAGAAUAUUCAUUCCAGAUGCAGAACACAGAAAAUUGCUGAGAUAGGACUGGACUCUAGUAAGCAUGUAGCCCUGGAAACAUGAGGGUCCUGGGCAAUUCAGGACAGGUGUUACAUUCCUGCACCACAUUCAAGUAUGAGAUCUGACAAAAGUAGACUGUUCACUUUGGCUACCAAUGAGAUUUUUCUAACUUUUACCAGGAAUAGUACUUCUUCAUAAAUGUGGAGUAAACUAUUUGAACAACAAUUCUUUCUUGUAUUAUUUCCAGAUUUGGUGAAAAACAUUAUAACAACUAAUGAAUACAUUAUACAGUCAUGCAAACUUCAAACUGAGUUUUUGUGCUAUUGCUGUGACAAGCAUUAAGAAAAGUUUAGUUUUCCAGAAGCCAUACUAGCCAGCUGUUAACUCUUGUCCUUUUCCUCAAUGACUCUGACUAUUUUUUGCCUUGUUCUUAGGGAAGUGCAUGGAUGUGGAAAAUGCCUGUUUAACAAUUCAGAUUAAAAAAGCAACCAAAUGCUAACACUUUGCGUUCACAAGACACAGCAGAAUGUCUUAGCCUAAUAAGCAUUGCCCUUAAGUUCGAUUUGCCAACUUCAAAAUAUGAAUUUAAGUAUUUCAUUUCAGCAGGAGGGCAAAAUUAAAUUCUAAGGCAAAAUGCUUAUGCACAGAAUAUAAGUUCAGCAGUGGUGAUAAUGGAAGUUAAACAUUUAAAACUUACCUCUUUAAAUUGUUUCCUUUCCACCUAUGCUGUUGAUGAUUUUCAUUUAGCUACCUUUUUCAUUAUUGGAUAAUGUAUACCUAUAACUAGAAUUCUUACCAAAUCUGCCUCCUUACAAAUUCAAAGAGCAACACAGUUAAUUCUCUGCUCAGGACAAAGAACGCAGCAUGUUAUUUUUAUGUAUCAUUAGGAAAAAAAUGAUAGAGGAAAUGAACCAGGGGAACAGAAAAACAAAAUAAGAAGUGAAAUCCAAGUUUCUAAUGCAGAGAUGGAAUGCCAAUAAACUGUUCCAAAGAAACUGUUUAGCUGCAAGCUUUUCAACCUGUUGCCAAGAAAACACUGCUGUGUUCACUGAUCCUAUCAUUAAACCAGCAGAAAUGCUAAGUCACGGCCCAAGCCAGUGAUGGAACACCUGGUGGGAAGGCAGGGCCAGCCCAACGAGCUCAGGUGCAUGCAAUGCAAUGCACUGAGUGACCGGAAGGGUUGAGCCAGGAUCCACACUUCCCAGCCCUCUCAUUGGAGAUCCCUGCAUGCCUGAGGCCUUCCAAAGGUAAGAGGUUUUUCUUCCUUUGUUUCUGUGUCCAUUGCUGCAGCCCAGGAUUGUGCUACCCUGCUACUAUUGCUGUACUUUCUAUCAUGUUAUAGCAUUACAGUGGGUAAAAGAAGUACUGGCUUUACUUCAUCAAAUCCCAGUUUUGUGCUGUGGCUGGCUGUGCUAAAUAUGCAGUGGUCUGCUCAGCUGUGAGGUCUUACAGUCCUU